rnacentral:rRNA from 1 species
UACGUAGGUGACAAGCGUUGUCCGGAUUUACUGGGCGUAAAGAGCGCGCAGGCGGUCGUUCAAGUCGAGUGUGAAAGCCCCCCGGCUCAACUGGGGAGGGUCAUUCGAUACUGAUCGACUCGAAGGCAGGAGAGGGAAGUGGAAUUCCCGGUGUAGUGGUGAAAUGCGUAGAUAUCGGGAGGAACACCAGUGGCGAAGGCGACUUCCUGGCCUGUUCUUGACGCUGAGGCACGAAGGCCAGGGGAGCAAACGGG